rnacentral:rRNA from 1 species
AAACCAGCACCUCAAGUGGUCAGGAGGAUUAUUGGGCCUAAAGCAUCCGUAGCCUGCUCUGUAAGUUUUCGGUUAAAUCUGUACGCUUAACGUACAGGCUGCCGGAAAUACUGCAGAGCUAGGGAGUGGGAGAGGUAGACGGUACUCUGGAGGAAGUGGUAAAAUGCUUUGAUCUCUAGAUGACCACCUGUGGCGAAGGCGGUCUACCAGAACACGUCCGACGGUGAGGGAUGAAAGCUGGGGGAGCAAACCGGAUUAGAAACCCGAGUAGUCC